CAUAGACAUAUAUAGAGGACACGUAGAGCCAUGCUCGGACGAGCAGGACACGCCAGUUGAUAUAAGAACUCCGCAAGAUGGAAGACAAAUUGAUCUGCAGUUCGGCAUCCUGGAUGUGAACGAUGCAGGAGCCAUGGAGCCCUCGAAUGCGGCUUGGGAUGACGAUGAAGAGGUGAAGGGUUGCGAUGCGACGGAUGGCGAUGGCGUUGUUAUUGAAGUCCCUGUUCCCAGCACUGUACCCGAUGCACGAGCCGGAGUUCCUAUAAUGUGACGUUGCUCGAUACGGUUGCGACGUCCAACUGUUGCUACAGGACUCCAAAUACGGAGAAAGGGAAAGAGAACAAAGAAAUAAUUGUGACUACACUACCCGGAGAGCACGACGAUAGUCUUGUACUCGUUUUUGCUUUGUGACUGAAUUGGUGGAGGUGGAGUUGGGAUGUUAACCUCAUGGAUAAUUUUUUUGUAAUGUUUUUUAUUUAACUUUACAUUUGACAUACUCUUGGGUAGCGUGGAAAUGCUUUGACGCAUUCCUCACAUUUUCGGUUGUCCGUGUUGAAUGCCAUGUCACUGUUCGAUUAUGUUGAUAGUUUUAGCUACUACUACUAUCAUGAUAACUUCUCGAUGACUUAAAUGAUCUGUCCCAUUCAUGGACUACUACUGUUUCAUGAUUUUCCUUCUCGUUUUUUGUCUUCACAAUUUCUUUGUGCUGUGAUCGAUUGUUC